GUGGGGAAGAAAAACCAAUUCAAUUGAAGCACUUACCAUGAGAUCACAGGUUCACUUAAUUUCAAAUGGUUAUAAUGGCAUCACAAGUUCAAACAGUGAAUGCUUGUUUGCUUGUCUGUAUGUAUGUCUGUUUUCUUGUAUUUCACUUGCCUCAUGGAAUAUUUUCUGUGUACUCAUUUGGGUGUCUGUACGUACAGAAGAAGGUUCACUUAGUUUUAAGUGGUUAUAAUGGCAUCAGUGAAUGUUUGUUUCUUUGAACUGCUUUAAUUUAUCAUUUUAUUUCAUCUAUUAACUUUAUUCUAAAGGUGAAAUAAAUGCAAGAUGGGUUAGGGUUGCAAGAUGUUUCCAAAGUCAGUGAGUCUCAAUCUAUUCUGUUGACUUUCCCUAUCUGCAUUGUUCUAUUGGCCUAGAGGGUGUAGUUUUAUAAAUCUCAAACUCUGUUUAAUGGUUAGAAAACGUGUUGCCGUAAAAACCUGCAACUCAAUGGCGUGUUGGUUUUAAAAAAUAUUGAGAAGGUAUUAAAAAUGGUAUUAAAAGGUAUUGAAUUUACCUCCAGGAUUUCUGUAUAUACCCUGUUUGAGAUGAAGAAA